UCCGAAUUGGUGUAGUGGCUAACAUUUGGUGCUCUCAUGGUGUUUAUUCUAAUAUUCAUAUGAAUAUUGGAUUGCAUGCUGACCCGCCAAGCCCGGGGUUCGAUUCCCCGAUUCGGAG